rfam:Nematocida sp. 1 ERTm2 unplaced genomic scaffold supercont1.9, whole genome shotgun sequence.
GGCACAGUGGCAGAAUGGUUAUUGCGACGGCUUGCUAAGCCGUGACCCUUUGGGUUCGUGGGUUCGAUUCCCAUCUGUGUCG